rnacentral:lncRNA from 1 species
GGAACUUAGCAAAACAUUUUACAAGGCUCAAGUAGAAUGUGGCUCUAGGACCUAUGACUACAGAUGGUCUGCAAAGCAUCUAUCACCUACCUACACAAGAUACACAAUCAUGUACACACAUGCAAGGAAGGAAUCAAAGGUGAUCUGUCCACAAAUGAUAUAUUGUGUGUAGCCUUUUGGCAAAGGGUACACACACACAUAAACACACAUCUAGAAAUGAAAGGAAAUUUGCCCGCAAAUUACAUUGACCAAAAUUGCUCCUUGAGAUGAAAUUUCAGAAUAGUCAUGAGUUCACUGGAGAGAAAGAGAAGGAGAGUGAGAAAGCAAAAGAAGCCUGAAGAUACAGAAUACCUUGUUUGUUCAAGGCUAACUUGCAGUAUCUUACAUCUCUAAGGCAAUUUUUCUUUCAAGGAUAUACCAAACUACCCAUUUCCUGCUAAAUGUGCAUAACGAAAUAGGUGCAGGUGGUGGAUAACUGAGCUGGAAACGUCCUUCUUACUCCAGGAGCACAAGAGCUCAGAGUUCACAGCAAUUUCUGCUUCUGCUCUCUCUCCCCCCCACCCUGCCCCCCGCACGGGUUUGGGUUGUGCAUGAAAAGGAGAUUCUGUGACUAAUAUCAAUGAGACAAAGAAAUGAAAGCUCUCUAAUCCCUGGGCCAGGCGCCAGCCGUCCCACUGUACGGGGCCAUUGGCCAGAAAUCCCACUGUAUGCUGGGCCCAAAGCCAACCAGGAUUGGAUACAAUGAGUUUCACAGCCACCUUUUCAGAGCUGACAGCAAAUGUCGGGGCACCAACAGCCUUUGAUAAGAGCUCCAACUUUCUCUCUAACAUUUCUACCCAAUAAUAAUAAAGCUUUUUUUUUUUUUAUUUAUUAAGCGGUACGCUCUUGAAGAUUGCUUAGUGCUUUUAGAGACACACACUCAUUCAUCUCAAUGCCUACAGUGAGAAGGGGUGGGGCUGGUGGCCAAAACUGAGAAACCAAUAUUCUCUUCCUGUUGAGAGAGAGAGAGAGAAAAAGGGGGCACAGUACUUUAGGCAACAGUUCAUUCUAUGAUUGAAAUUUCUAGACAAAGGUCUCACAUGAAUAUUCUUCCUUGGAUGAAAUGCGUUUGUCGGGAGCUAACUGGACCUUGCUGUGUGAUUCCUAAUGAGUUGUUUACUUAAAAAUGUCUCCUCUCUUCUUAAGACCAGGGGCUUUUGAAAGGCCAAACACAUACACAAACCAGUUAAUACUGGCACCCCUCAUGGAAUUUUCUGGCUGUUUCAGAUUUAAAUAUUGAUUUCUUUCUCUCACUCCCCCUGUCUCUUCACCAUGGCAGCAGCUGUCAGGAAGUUGGGACCUUCAUGCCAAGAAAGCACCCGGGAGAACAUGAACACCAUUAAAAUAUUUUUUACCUUUUACCUUAUUAUUGUUCUCAAAAAGCUCUUGAGUAGCUGGCUGAAUAUUGGGUAACCAAGAAGGGUUGCUCCUCCACCGGGGAAACAGUGGAUCCGAUUUCCAUUAGAGAUUCUGAAUUAUUUAGUGGGAAUUGAGGCCCCCAAUCAGCUGCCUUCUGAGCACUUGCCCCCAGGCGUCCAUCCCCAUUCCCGUGCCUUAAGGUCUUCUCUUGAGAACAGAACACGCACAACUUGAAAUGUGUUCCUUUUUAUUUAGACGGGUUAGGAAAAAGCUUACUUGCCACGAAUUAGGUUGCACAUGAUACAUAUCCAGGAUGCAAAGUGAGAGUCUAGUAUAUUGAAAGUUAACAGAAUUGUGAAUACCACAUGCAGCCACAACCCAUUGUCAUUACAAAUUCUUAUCAUAAUUUUCAGAUUUUGCAUUCUUUCAAACUGUAAAUGGAUAGUAAGUAACACUUAAUUCAAGAAGUUAAAUUCCUAGUAUUCGGUACUUUGCUGACUAACUGCUAUAUAUUUCAUGGAUUGACAUUUUUGAUUGACACGAGUGGAAAUUUCAGUGGAAAGCUAGACAAGAAAAUCAAAUGCUGGGUUGAAGGAAGAAGCUAACAUAUGGAUACAUAUACUUCCCUUUCUAUUUCUGUGUUCAUGUGAAAGAGUCAUUAAAACUGAAACAAUGUGAUUGACCACAUAUUAUAGAUUUGCCUCUUUUUUUCAUCACAAACUAUGCUUACAAAGAGUUUUUAGGGGAUGGAUUUGAAGAGAUGAACAUGGGUCAGAUUUGUGGAUAACUUUGCCAACAUUUCUGAGGAAGUUAGACUUUAUCGUUAUAGGAAUUUCUUGGUAUGUGUUAUUAGGCCACAAAGUAUAAUACAUCAGAUUCCUACUUUAAAGAUCUUACUUGGGCUGCGUUGAGCAUGUAAAAUAGAAAGAGUGAAGCUGAAACAUGGACACCAAUUGAGAUAAUCUAGCUGAGAAAUCACAUGCUUCGAAUAAGUAAACCAGCAAUGUUGAUAGAAAGAGAGUCAAGAAAAAAAAUCAUUGUCAAGGAGCAGUGGAUGACUGGCUGGGACUGGCGAAAGGAAAAAAAUGAUUCUAAAAAAUUCCUAGUUUUCCCCCUUUGUAGAUGAUGAUGACAGCCUUUGAGAUAAGGAACAGGAUUGGGCUACUAGAGAUGAGACCACCUUUAGAAAUGUUGAGUUCAAGUAGAGAGUGUAUCAUUUAAGCAAAAUUUAAAAGACAUAUUAUACCAUGGCGUAAACCGACAAUUUUAAAUUCACUUUUUAUGUGUUUUUCAAGAAAGAUCCAAAACUAUGGGCCACUUGCUUUAAUUAGUCCAUUUAUAAUGCCUCCCUAAAUCAAUUUUUGUAAGAGGCUCUCAACCCUUUAAUAAAAAUCUUUUCAAGCUAGAGUUUGCCCUUUUAAAAGGGGUAUUUAAUUUAUCUUCUUGAUGUUUCUAUGUGUAGGGUAAAAAGAAACUUAGCUAAAGACUAAUUCUUUCAUUUCUCCCCAACUUGGGGGUAACUAUAUCUCGGCGGUUCCCCACAUGAGAGUGGCCGGAGAAAAGGGAAAUCACCUCGGUGUUUAGAUAAAACUCUGGUUAUCUGCUGCUUGACAAAAUCAGAAGCUUACCUAAGUCUUGUUUCCCAGCUCAUCCCCUCCCCCAUGCCCUUCUCUUACCCACUUAAGCAAUUAUUCUAAUGACGCAUUAAUAAACUUGCAAGCAGAAUUUUGCUAUUACCAAAGGCUUACAAUUUCAGUGUCUUAAAUUCUGUUUGCUUUUUGUUGUGUACCUCUUUGUGAGUCUUCUUUUUUGCUUUGUCAUUCUUUUCUUUUUGGCUUUCUGUAUGUAUGCAUGAGAGCAUCAGAGCUACCUUAAGCUCAGCUCUAUUCCCUACCCCAGCCAGGUGAAAUUUCACCAGCACUGAUUUUACAUGUAUUGGGCUGGGUACUUGUCUCCAGUUAACUUGACAUUCCCAUGCUGUUCCCUUCCCUGCUUGCGGGACACUGAUUUUGGCUUCAUCCCAGUUAGGUGAGUGAGGGAGAGGUUGAUGAGAGGAGUACCAUGGUUGGUUUGUGCAUACUCUUGAAAGGACUGGAAUAACUACUGAGGAAAAAAACUGGUACCAAUGAGAAUUUUGUCAAAAAGGAAAAAUGAGUAGACUCGAGAAGUACAGAAUAAAAUUUUCCUGAAAAACUUGAAAAUUGCACGUUGAGAUCAAGAAGAUGACUCUAAAAUUGAACAUUUAUUUUGCAGAUUAAUUCAGGAGUGUAUAAUAAUAACAGGCUAUAAUCAUCUUCAUCUUCCAGGCACUAGGGGGUCCAAUUCCAUGGCAGUGUUGAAGAUCACUGGAGUCAACAUGGUACAGAUCCUGGAAGAAUCACAGAACUCGGAUCCUCUCCCCAGCUUCAUCUUUCUGGACUCCAUUUUUCUUUUUAAUUUUCAAGACGGAGAGUCUGAAAAUGAGCUUUUGCGAGGAUGCUCCAACUCCGUAAUUUCAUGAUUCUAUAGUGUAGUAGUUAGGGUCACUCUAGUACCACAAAUUCAGUUACUAAAUAGGCCAAAAAACCAGGUAACAGCCCCUCCUCCUGUCCCCGUUCACAAAUGGUGUAGACAGCUGGGUUGCCUUUUUUCAGAGAGCAAGGUUCUGAUUCAAUUAUCUAUGGCUGUGUUGUAACAGAGAAGGUUUGUACUCUAUUACAACCUAAUCACUAAAGGGAUGGCCCACUUCUGGGAACGCUGCCUCUCGAGUAAUGAGCAUUAAGUUCAAAUACCUUUGUUUAUCUCGUAGGAAACAGCCUAACCAGGCCCACCUGUGAAUGACUACAAGGCGGCUGGCCGGAAACAGGAAAUGUUUGACGUUACGCCCGCCCCUUUCAGUAUAAAAGAAGCCUGACCCCCGCCCUCGAGCAAGAUGGUUUGUUGGGGGGAAGUGUUCUACAUGUGCUUGGUUUGCUGGCUUUCUGAAUAAAGUCACUAUUUCUUGCCCCAACAACUCACCUCUGGAUUUCCUGGACUGUUGUGUGGCGAGCAGCACAGCAUAGACUUGAUUAAAAAAAAAAAAA